GAUGAACGCUGGCGGCGUGCCUAAUACAUGCAAGUCGAGCGAACAGACGAGGAGCUUGCUCCUCUGACGUUAGCGGCGGACGGGUGAGUAACACGUGGAUAACCUACCUAUAAGACUGGGAUAACUUCGGGAAACCGGAGCUAAUACCGGAUAAUAUAUUGAACCGCAUGGUUCAAUAGUGAAAGACGGUUUUGCUGUCACUUAUAGCUGGAUCCGCGCCGCAUUAGCUAGUUGGUAAGGUAACGGCUUACCAAGGCAACGAUGCGUAGCCGACCUGAGAGGGUGAUCGGCCACACUGGAACUGAGACACGGUCCAGACUCCUACGGGAGGCAGCAGUAGGGAAUCUUCCGCAAAGGGCGAAAGCCUGACGGAGCAACGCCGCGUGAGUGAUGAAGGUCUUCGGAUCGUAAAACUCUGUUAUUAGGGAAGAACAAAUGUGUAAGUAACUAUGCACGUCUUGACGGUACCUAAUCAGAAAGCCACGGCUAACUACGUG
rnacentral:rRNA from 1 species